AGGAUGAGACUGCGUCUGAUUAGGUAGUUGGUGGGGUAACGGCCCACCAAGCCCAUCAUCAGUACGGGUUGUGGGAGCAAGAUCCCGGAGAUGGAUUCUGAGACAUGAAUCCAGGCCCUACGGGGCGCAGCAGGCGCGCAAACUUUACAAUGCGAGCAAUCGUGAUAAGGAAACCCUGAGUGCCUGUUGAUGCAGGCUGUUCAUUAGUUUAAAUUGCUAGUGAAGAAAGGGCAGGGCAAGACCGGUGCCAGCCGCCGCGGUAAUACCGGCUGCUCGAGUGAUGGCCACUAUUACUGGGUUUAAAGCGUCCGUAGCUUGAUUGUUAGGUCUCUUGGGAAAUCUUCAGGCUUAACCUUAAGGCGUCUAAGAGAUACCGGCAAUCUUGGGACUGGGAGAGGUAAACCGUACUUCGGGGGUAGGAGUGAAAUCUUGUAAUCCUCGAGGGACGACCUAUGGCGAAGGCAGUUUACCAGAACAGCUUCGACAGUGAGGGACGAAAGCUGGGGGAGCAAACGGGAUUAGAUACCCCGGUAGUCCCAGCCGUAAACAAUGUGCGUUAGGUGUAUCGGCAACCACGCGUUACUGAUGCGCCGCAGAGAAAUCGUGAAACGCACCACCUGGGAAGUAUGGUCGCAAGGCUGAAACUUAAAGGAAUUGGCGGGGGAGCACCACAACAGGUGGAGCCUGCGGUUUAAUUGGAUU
rnacentral:rRNA from 1 species